AACUGAUACUACCUGCGGGAACCUGCGGAAGGAUCAUUAAAGAGUUGCAAGACUCCCAAACCAUUGUGAACGUUACCCACACCGUUGCUUCGGCGGGCGGCCCGGGCCCUGCCCGGCGCCCCCCGGCCCCUCGCGGGCGCCCGCCGGAGGUAAACCAAACUCUUGAAUUGUAUGGCCUCUCUGAGUCUUCUGUACUGAAUAAGUCAAAACUUUUAACAAUGGAUCUCUAGAUCGGAAGAG
rnacentral:misc_RNA from 1 species